rnacentral:sRNA from 1 species
AAUAAAAAUAAAUAUAAAAAUCAAACACAUCCUUGUCUUCAUGAAUCGCCUCUAAAUACGUAGCAAAGAUUGGUCACUUUGUUGGAAAAGACACCACUUUUAUCAAGUCUGAGGAAUCUGUAAAGAACGUUACUUCUUGUUUGUCUUGACCAAUCAUACAUCUUAUUGUUCAUACGAGUGAACGAGUGCUUCCACUUAUGUAAAUAGACAUGUGAGACUUCUUCGUAGGUUGACAUCACCUAUAGUUGGAUAUUUUCUUGUUGGUAAGUUUUUAGAU